UACGGAGGAUGCGAGCGUUAUCCGGAUUUAUUGGGUUUAAAGGGUGCGUAGGCGGGAUGCCAAGUCAGCGGUAAAAAUGCGGUGCUCAACGCCGUCGAGCCGUUGAAACUGGCGUUCUUGAGUGGGCGAGAAGUAUGCGGAAUGCGUGGUGUAGCGGUGAAAUGCAUAGAUAUCACGCAGAACUCCGAUUGCGAAGGCGGCCUACUGGACGGUGACUGACGCUGAGGCUCGAAAGCGUGGGGAGCAAACAGG
rnacentral:rRNA from 1 species